GCCAUAUCGAUCGAUUUACUUUUUGUUUCCUAAGAGAGUGAGAAGGAAAUUCAUGUAAUCCCCAGAAGUGUGCUUCGAGAUAGCAUGAUCAAGACUCACACUGUUCCUCUUGUAGUAAAGCUCUUUGAUCACUCCCAAGUCAUUCUCUGCCCUGCUCACUAUUACCCUUGUCACAGACGCCUCAUCUGUCCCUGACUUCAUUAGGGCACGUCGAAUUACCUUUUCAUAGUAUGCCUGAGGGUCAUAAGUAAUGCAUCGGAUUAUCGUUCUCAAUGCUCCUAAGAAAGCAUUAGCUGUCUUUUCUCCAUCAUCCCUCAAGUACUUGGUGAGUGAAGAGGCAUAAUCAUCCUUGUAACGGUUUAGAGUUGCUCUGAGUUGAGUCUUGCUCCUUGUGGUAAUAAUUCUAACAAUUUCUUCAUGAUUAAACUCCUUGCUUUUUAUCGCAUUGUAAAUAACGUCCGCCUCAGAUUUUGCUAGCUUUACAUCGAUUUCAUCGCCUGCAUAUCUAUA
rnacentral:misc_RNA from 1 species